UACUAAGCGGAGGAAAAGAAACUAACCAGGAUUCCCUCGGUAGCGGCGAGCGAACAGGGAAGAGCCCAGCACCGAAUCCCGCGGCCGGUCGACGGACGCCGGGAAAUGUGGUGUUAGGGAGGAUCCGCCAUCCCGAGAUCGUUCGGCGCGCCCAAGUCCUUCUUGAACGGGGCCAUUUACCCAUAGAGGGUGCCAGGCCCGUAGUCGGCCGCCGUCGAUCGCGGGAGGAUCUCUCCUCAGAGUCGGGUUGCUUGAGAGUGCAGCCCUAAGCGGGUGGUAAACUCCAUCUAAGGCUAAAUAUGACCACGAGACCGAUAGCGAACAAGUACCGUGAGGGAAAGUUGAAAAGAACUUUGAAGAGAGAGUUCAAGAGUACGUGAAACCGUUCAGGGGUAAACCUGAGAAACCCGAAAGGUCGAACGGGGAGAUUCAGCGCGUCCCGGAAAACCGCGGCGAGUCGGUGACGGGCGACGGUCGGCGUUCGCGUCGGCCGCGCCGCUUCCGUUCCGUCCGCGACCGAACGCGUGCACUUCUCCCCCUGUAGGACGUCGCGACCCGUUGGGCGCCGGUCUAAGGCUCGCGGUUCGGUCCGUUCGAGUUUACGCUCGUUCGGGGCCGCGUCCGCCCGACCGGAGACAUACCGACGGUACGAUACGAGGCGAGGGGCCGCGAUACGUUCGCGUCCGGCCGGCCGCAAGUGCGGACGGAAAAUCCGAAAUGCGGACCGAGCGCCGCAUCCGGAACCGUCCGACUGCUGGCGGUCGCGCUCUCGGACAGACCCCUAUUUACACGCCGGUCGGCGGCGCUAUAGCUUUGGGUACUUUCAGNNNNNNNNNNNNNNNNNNNNCCAAGGAGUCUAGCAUGUGCGCGAGUCAUUGGGACUCUAACGAAACCUAAAGGCGCAAUGAAAGUGAAGGCCCGCCUAGCGCGGGCCGAGGGAGGAUGGACGGCCGUUGUCGGCCGUCCCGCACUCCCUGGGCGUCUCGUUCUCACAGCGAGAAGAGGCGCACCAAGAGCGUACACGCUGGGACCCGAAAGAUGGUGAACUAUGCCUGGUCAGGACGAAGUCAGGGGAAACCCUGAUGGAGGUCCGUAGCGAUUCUGACGUGCAAAUCGAUCGUCGGAACUGGGUAUAGGGGCGAAAGACUAAUCGAACCAUCUAGUAGCUGGUUCCCUCCGAAGUUUCCCUCAGGAUAGCUGGCGCUCGCUUCUCGCGAGUCUCAUUCGGUAAAGCGAAUGAUUAGAGGCAUUGGGGUCGAAACGGCCUCAACCUAUUCUCAAACUUUAAAUGGGUGAGAUCUCCGGCUUGCUUGAACUGUGAAGCCGCGAGAGAUUACGGAUCAGAGUGCCAAGUGGGCCACUUUUGGUAAGCAGAACUGGCGCUGUGGGAUGAACCAAACGCMGAGUUAAAGCGCCUAAAUCGCCGCUUAUGGGAUACCAUGAAAGGCGUUGGUAACUUAAGACAGCAGGACGGUGGCCAUGGAAGUCGGAAUCCGCCAAGGAGUGUGUAACAACUCACCUGCCGAAGUUACUAGCCCUGAAAAUGGAUGGCGCUGAAGCGUCGUGCUUAUACUCUGCCGUCAGCGGCAUGUGAGACGGUCCGUUAGAGGUCGUCAUGAAGCCCUGACGAGUAGGAGGGUCGCGGCGGUGAGCGCAGAAGGACCAGGCGCGAGCCAGUCUGGAGCCGCCGUCGGCGCAGAUCUUGGUGGUAGUAGCAAAUACUCCAGCGAGGCCCUGGAGGACUGACGUGGAGAAGGGUUUCGUGUGAACAGCCGUUGCACACGAGUCAGUCGAUCCUAAGCCAUAGGCGAAAGCCGAUGUCGAUGCGGCGUAUCUUUCGGUGUCUGUCGCCGUCGCAACACGCACACGCACGCGCGCAAGCACGCAACGCGCUCGCUAAACCACUACGCCGCAACGAUAAUAAUAUACGUACGACGGACGUGGUGGUGGCGGCGGCGGCGUCGGUAGCGGCGCAGCGUAGCGAAAGUACGUACGCGAGAGCGCGCACGCAGGCGGAGAGACGCACGCCCGUCGGGCGAAAGGGAAUCCGGUUCCUAUUCCGGAACCCGGCAGCGGAACCGUUAUUAAGUCGUGCCCUCAUUUAGAGAGUUCGUCGGGGCAACCCAAAAGGACCUGGAGACGCCGUCGGGAGAUCCGGGAAGAGUUUUCUUUUCUGCAUAAGCGCUCGAGUUCCAUGGAAUCCUCUAGCAGGGAGAUAUGGUUUGGAGCGCGAAGAGCACCGCAGUUGCGGCGGUGUCCGGAUCUUCCCCUCGGACCUUGAAAAUCCAGGAGAGGGCCACGUGGAGGCGUCGCGCCGGUUCGUACCCAUAUCCGCAGCAGGUCU
rnacentral:rRNA from 1 species